rnacentral:rRNA from 1 species
GACGAACGCUGGCGGCGUGCUUAACACAUGCAAGUCGAACGGAAAGGCCCUGCUUUUGUGGGGUGCUCGAGUGGCGAACGGGUGAGUAACACGUGAGUAACCUGCCCUUGACUUUGGGAUAACUUCAGGAAACUGGGGCUAAUACCGGAUAGGAGCUCCUGCUGCAUGGUGGGGGUUGGAAAGUUUCGGCGGUUGGGGAUGGACUCGCGGCUUAUCAGCUUGUUGGUGGGGUAGUGGCUUACCAAGGCUUUGACGGGUAGCCGGCCUGAGAGGGUGACCGGCCACAUUGGGACUGAGAGACGGCCCAGAAUGCUACGGGAGGCAGCAGUGGGAAGUAUUACACAAUAAGCGGAAGCCUGAUACAGCAGCGCCGCGUGCGGGAUGACGGCCUUCGGGUUGUAAACCGCUUUCGCCUGUGACGAAGCGUGAGUGACGGUAAUGGGUAAAGAAGCACCGGCUAACUACGUG